rnacentral:lncRNA from 1 species
GGAAUUUUGGUGAUACAUUUCUUCUGAACGCCGCGGCAACACUGAUGGUAUAAUGGAAAUGCUACGAAGAAAUACCAGAUGUCUGUCCCCGGAUGGAUUACACAAGCACGGAAAUUAACGUGACAAGUGAGGAUGAAACUGAUAACUCUGGCCAAAUAUUGGUCUUUGGCAAAAACAGAUUGCGGACCCUGGAUUUAAAAAAUGUAUUUUUUCCAUGUAAUCAGUUCCACCAAAUAUGCCUAUACUUUAGUUUUUUUAAUAAAUUCGAGUGCUUACACACAUGAACCGGCAUGAACAUUUCUGUACCGCUUCGUCUUUAAAAGAAAAUAUUGUAUUCAAUAUUUCCUGGUUCCUAACUUCUGUAUCUCUGUGGAUGUAAAGUAAAGCUAAUACGAAAGUAAGUCGUCGAGCUGUGUAGACGUGUUUUUUACCGCGCUCUUGUGAAAAUCAAUAAAUUCAUAAUAUGACCGACUCCUGCGGUAAAUGUGAAAAGCGGUUUGCAAGAAAUGACUCUAACAUAGUGCCUUGUAGUGGAUUUUGUAAUCUGCGUUUCCAUCGCUCCUGCUGUGAAGGCCAGGUCACUGACUAUGAUCUUGGAUUGAUUAAUCUCAAUCGCCAUAUUUGCUAUUUGUGCUCUACGUGUAUAAAUACAUCUAAGUCGAUUUGAUAUUUAUGUGCAGAUAGAAUUAUUAAAAGCUGAAAUAAAUUCAACCACACAAAGCAUCGCCGUUGGCAACAACAACGCUUCAUGCAUUAAAGCCUUAGCUGCCGAGCUAAAUGCCAUCAAAAGUGCUGUUGUGAGUUCUAGCGUUGUUGCUGUCGACAAUGAUAACAAUUGUGAGAGUAUAAGCCGUUUCUCUGCUGACGCUGUUUCCCAAAGUGCAUCUCCGCUGCCCAAUCCAACUGUUGCGCCAGCUGCUAAUGGCAAUGGAAAGCGAACAGUGACCAAUGCGGCUCUCUCACCUGUUAUGCCUGCGAAGCGUAUGACUCCUAAUGCUAAUAUUACUCGUACCUAUGCCAAUGUUACAAACAUCAACGUUGUGCCUAUGUCUUCUAAUGCUGCGCAUGAGUCGGCAACUAUUAGCACGGAUGCUGCUCAUGUUUUCAAUGUGCUGCCCGCUACGCCUGUUAUUGACAAGAACGCCGAUGUUGGGGUUG